UACGAAGGGGGCUAGCGUUGCUCGGAAUCACUGGGCGUAAAGCGCACGUAGGCGGAUUGCUAAGUCAGGGGUGAAAUCCUGGAGCUCAACUCCAGAACUGCCUUUGAUACUGGCGAUCUCGAGUCCGGGAGAGGUGAGUGGAACUGCGAGUGUAGAGGUGAAAUUCGUAGAUAUUCGCAAGAACACCAGUGGCGAAGGCGGCUCACUGGCCCGGUACUGACGCUGAGGCGCGAAAGCGUGGGUAGCGAACAGG
rnacentral:rRNA from 1 species